GACGAACGCUGGCGGCGUGCUUAACACAUGCAAGUCGAACGGAAAGGCCCUGCUUUUGUGGGGUGCUCGAGUGGCGAACGGGUGAGUAACACGUGAGUAACCUGCCCUUGACUUUGGGAUAACUUCAGGAAACUGGGGCUAAUACCGGAUAGGAGCUCCUGCUGCAUGGUGGGGGUUGGAAAGUUUCGGCGGUUGGGGAUGGACUCGCGGCUUACCAGCUUGUUGGUGGGGUAGUGGCUUACCAAGGCCUUGACGGGUAGCCGGCCUGAGAGGGUGACCGGCCACAUUGGGACUGAGAUACGGCCCAGACUCCUACGGGAGGCAGCAGUGGGGAAUAUUGCACAAUGGGCGGAAGCCUGAUGCAGCAACGCCGCGUGCGGGAUGACGGCCUUCGGGUUGUAAACCGCUUUCGCCUGUGACGAAGCGUGAGUGACGGUAAUGGGUAAAGAAGCACCGGCUAACUACGUG
rnacentral:rRNA from 1 species